rnacentral:lncRNA from 1 species
CUGAUCAAAGAAAAUUUCUAAACAAGAGAACCAAUUUACAGAGAUUAUUAGCACAUGCCAAGCGGAUCUCAAUAUAAAGAGGAAGUAAGACCGGCUCCACCAAAUUUCUCUCUAAAUUGCUUUUCCAUCCAUUUCUAGUUGGUUCAUAUGCACGCAAGGAGAUAUGUAAAACUGGAAAGACCAAACAGGCAAAUCUGUCCUUGUUAUUUGCCCCGGUUUGCUCAGGUUAUCUCUUCAUCUAACGGAAGCACAGAUCGAUUGCUGAUUGUGUAGCCCAGUUACUCCAUUUCGAAAGUGCUGCCUGUUUCUUCUUCGUUUUCUUACUACCAUAAAGCCUUCGCCAUCCCCGAUUUUCUUUUUACUCACAUCUAAUUUUUUUGGUUCUUCACAGCUACCGGAUUGAGAAUCCAAGUCUUUCCCUUCAUUUCCAUAAAGAAUUUUUAUUAUUGCACUGUCAUUUGCAACUGCAUCUGAAGAAUUUUCCGAAUGGUUGAGCCUUUUGUCAUUCACUGCAGGCUCACUCGUAGGAUCCACGUUCUGCUUGACUGACCUGACAAUGAAGCUAAGCAAAAUCUGCCUCGCUAGCUCUGAUUUCUCCUCAGCGCUACUCUUUUUCAAAUUAGAAUCUUUUACUUCCCU